UACGUAGGGUGCAAGCGUUGUCCGGAAUUAUUGGGCGUAAAGAGCUCGUAGGCGGUCUGUCACGUCGGCUGUGAAAACCCGAGGCUCAACCUCGGGCCUGCAGUCGAUACGGGCAAACUAGAGUACUGCAGGGGAGACUGGAAUUCCUGGUGUAGCGGUGAAAUGCGCAGAUAUCAGGAGGAACACCAGCGGCGAAGGCGGCGCUCUGGGCCGGUACUGACGCUGAGGAGCGAAAGCGUGGGUAGCAAACAGG
rnacentral:rRNA from 1 species